rnacentral:tRNA from 1 species
UCUUCCUUGGUCUAGUGGUCAGGAUACCUGCUUGUCAUUGAACAAGUCGCAGGUGGCCGGGGUUCGAUUCCCCGAGGGAGAG